rnacentral:antisense_RNA from 1 species
GUGGUUUGCAAAAAACUUCUUUUCUGGGCACUUCGACAAAGGUUGCAGUGAACAGUGACUGUCCGACAGCGAGGGAUCCUGGUCACUGAAUGAGAAGACACAGGAGGUAGAGCAGCACUUGCUGACUCAGAAGCAUUAACAUAAAACGCUGGAGUGCAGGGCACAAUAAUGGUUGACUGCAGCCUCAACCUCCAGGGCUCAAGGGAUCCUUCCACCUCAGCCUCCCCAGUAGUUGGGAUUACACGGAUAUUUCAAGAUUCAGCAUCAUUUCAGACCCUGAAAAAUCCCUGAAAAUUGAAUUCUCAAUAGAUAAUGCAACUCCACAUAAUAUCUGGAUUUUGUAAAUGCUUGCUAAUAGAUUGUUUUACAACGUG